ensembl:snRNA U6 U6 spliceosomal RNA
GCGCUCGCUUCAGCAGCGCGUGUGCUAAAAUUAGAACAAUGCAGAGAAGAUUAGCACGGCCCCUGUGCAAGAAUUAAGCCUUUCUUUUUUUUUUUUUUUUU